CUGGCCGUGCGCCCCAGCCGAGAUCAAAGUCCCGAGCAGAGCUACCGCCUCCCGGGCCUGGAGGCCCCAUUCCUUGAAGCUGACCAAACAGUGCCUUUCUGCAUCUGUCUGGAGAGUGUGUGUCUGCCUUCCAUCUCCCCCCAUAGAGUCUUUUUCAGAAAGUUUCAUAUCCAGUGCUUGCUUUUCCUUUUGAAUCAAUAAUCAAGCCCUAGCAUUUUCCUUGCCUGAGCCAUGGGAGUUGGAGAAGGGAAGAGAAAGAAACCAACCAGAUGUGUCUGAGUGAACCCACAUUCUCUCUAUGCAAUCUAUGGCUCUUUCCUGCCUCAGUGAACAGCUCUAAUGGGGAGGAGACAAGGACUGGCUUGUCUCAUACAUUGACUAGGAAGAAAGGCAGUUAGCCAGUGUGCCAAGCUCAAGGAAAGCCUCUCUGAAGGAUCAUCACUGAUUUCCAUCCCUCCUUUUGCCAUGGCCUGAAGACCAUCACAACGAAGGUCUAGUGACCAAGAUCCAGUUUUAUCUACCCCACUCCAGCAACUGAAACCCAAGUGGAUUCUUUCCCCUGUACACUCUUCCCCUAUAUCUCGC